rnacentral:rRNA from 1 species
UACGUAGGGUGCGAGCGUUGUCCGGAAUUACUGGGCGUAAAGAGCUCGUAGGCGGCUUGUCGCGUCGUCCGUGAAAACUUGGGGCUCAACCCCAAGCUUGCGGUCGAUACGGGCAGGCUAGAGUUCGGUAGGGGAGACUGGAAUUCCUGGUGUAGCGGUGAAAUGCGCAGAUAUCAGGAGGAACACCGGUGGCGAAAGCAGCUCUCUGGGACGGUACUGACGCUGAGACGCGAAAGCGUGGGGAGCAAACAGG